rnacentral:rRNA from 1 species
UACGUAGGGAGCAAGCGUUGUCCGGAAUCAUUGGGCGUAAAGCGCGCGUAGGUGGCCCCGUAAGUCCGCUGUGAAAGUCAAAGGCUCAACCCUUGAAUGCCGGUGGAUACUGCAGGGCUAGAGUCCGGAAGAGGCGAGUGGAAUUCCUGGUGUAGCGGUGAAAUGCGCAGAUAUCAGGAGGAACACCGAUGGCGAAGGCAGCUCGCUGGGACGGUACUGACGCUGAGGCGCGAAAGCGUGGGGAGCAAACAGG